rnacentral:rRNA from 1 species
GAUUAGUGGCGAACGGGUGAGUAACACGUGAGUAACCUGCCCCUGACUCUGGGAUAAGCGUUGGAAACGACGUCUAAUACUGGAUAUGACGGCCGAUCGCAUGGUCUGGUCGUGGAAAGAAUUUUGGUUGGGGAUGGACUCGCGGCCUAUCAGGUAGUUGGUGAGGUAAUGGCUCACCAAGCCGACGACGGGUAGCCGGCCUGAGAGGGUGACCGGCCACACUGGGACUGAGACACGGCCCAGACUCCUACGGGAGGCAGCAGUGGGGAAUAUUGCACAAUGGGCGCAAGCCUGAUGCAGCAACGCCGCGUGAGGGAUGACGGCCUUCGGGUUGUAAACCUCUUUUAGUAGGGAAGAAGCGAAAGUGACGGUACCUGCAGAAAAAGCACCGGCUAACUACGUGCCAGCAGCCGCGGUAAUACGUAGGGUGCAAGCGUUGUCCGGAAUUAUUGGGCGUAAAGAGCUCGUAGGCGGUUUGUCGCGUCUGCUGUGAAAUCCCGAGGCUCAACCUCGGGCUUGCAGUGGGUACGGGCAGACUAGAGUGCGGUAGGGGAGAUUGGAAUUCCUGGUGUAGCGGUGGAAUGCGCAGAUAUCAGGAGGAACACCGAUGGCGAAGGCAGAUCUCUGGGCCGUAACUGACG